rnacentral:rRNA from 1 species
ACGCUGGCGGCGUGCUUAGCACAUGCAAGUCGAACGAAAAUACCAAGCUUGCUUGGUUGAUUAGUGGCGAACGGGUGAGUAACACGUGAGUAACCUGCCCCUUACUUUCCUGGAUAACUGCUCGAAAGGGUAGCUAAUACGGGAUAUUCUGGCCUUCCUGCAUGGGUUGGUUUGGAAAGGUUUUUUUUCUGGUAAGGGAUGGGCUCGCGGCCUAUCAGCUUGUUGGUGGGGUGAUGGCCUACCAAGGCUUUGACGGGUAGCCGGCCUGAGAGGGUGGACGGUCACACUGGGACUGAGAUACGGCCCAGACUCCUACGGGAGGCAGCAGUGGGGAAUAUUGCACAAUGGGCGCAAGCCUGAUGCAGCGACGCCGCGUGAGGGAUGAAGGCCUUCGGGUUGUAAACCUCUUUCGUCAGGGAACAAGGCACUACCUUUUGGUGGUGUUGAGGGUACCUGGAUAAGAAGCGCCGGCUAACUACGUGCCAGCAGCCGCGGUAAUACGUAGGGCGCAAGCGUUGUCCGGAAUUAUUGGGCGUAAAGAGCUCGUAGGCGGCUGGUCGCGUCUGUCGUGAAAACUUCCGGCUCAACCGGGGGCUUGCGGUGGGUACGGGCCGGCUAGAGUGCGGUAGGGGUAACUGGAACUCCUGGUGUAGCGGUGGAAUGCGCAGAUAUCAGGAAGAACACCGAUGGCGAAGGCAGGUUACUGGGCCGUUACUGACGCUGAGGAGCGAAAGCGUGGGGAGCGAACAGGAUUAGAUACCCUGGUAGUCCACGCUGUAAACGUUGGGCACUAGGUGUGAGGCUCCUUUCCGGGGGUUUUGCGCCGUAGCUAACGCAUUAAGUGCCCCGCCUGGGGAGUACGGCCGCAAGGCUAAAACUCAAAGGAAUUGACGGGGGCCCGCACAAGCGGCGGAGCAUGCGGAUUAA